AUUGAACGCUGGCGGCAUGCCUUACACAUGCAAGUCGAACGGUAACGCGGGGCAACCUGGCGACGAGUGGCGAACGGGUGAGUAAUACAUCGGAACGUGCCCAGUAGUGGGGAUAGCCCGGCGAAAGCCGGAUUAAUACCGCAUACGACCUACGGGUGAAAGCAGGGGAUCGCAAGACCUUGCGCUAUUGGAGCGGCCGAUGUCAGAUUAGGUUGUUGGUGGGGUAAAAGCCUACCAAGCCGACGAUCUGUAGCUGGUCUGAGAGGACGACCAGCCACACUGGGACUGAGACACGGCCCAGACUCCUACGGGAGGCAGCAGUGGGGAAUUUUGGACAAUGGGCGCAAGCCUGAUCCAGCCAUGCCGCGUGCGGGAAGAAGGCCUCGG
rnacentral:rRNA from 1 species